GGGUGACAGAGCUAAGACUCCCGUCUAGGGGGGUAAAAAAAAAGAUGCUGUAUCUAAAUAAAUCUGUGCAAUUGGGCCCAGAUGUGGGUUUGCUCAGUAUUAGUAGACAAGGUCUUCAUUCAGACGAUUAGGUGUCUAACUGGCACAUGCCUUAGUUUCUUAAAACGAGGUAUUUUCUGAUGUGGCUUUACUUUUCAAAAGUUAACUUGAUUCAACCUGAGAAAACUGAUUUAAAAAUUAGUUUAAAUUUGCCAGCAGGGAAGUAAAAUAAUUAUGGGAAGAGUGUCUUAAGCCUAAUACUAAAUCAGUUUUGUUAAGGGGAAAACUCAAUAGUUCUGAUACUUAGGCUGUUAGAUCCAAGUUGAUUUUUGUGUCUACAACUAAAUUUUGUAUACAAUUAGGCUAUUUUUUAAUAUAGGAUUUAGAAACCAAGGGUAUGUGUUUUAAAAUUACACUUUUUCUUGUCUAGGUGUCGGAAAAGGUAACAGAAGAUGGAACUCGAAAUCCCAAUGAAAAACCUACCCAGCAAAGAAGCAUAGCUUUUAGCUGUAAUAAUUCUGUAGCAAAGCCAAUACAAAAAUCAGCUAAAGCUGCCACAGAAGAGACAUCUUCAAGAUCACCAAAAAUAGAUCAGAAAAAAAGUCCAUAUGGACUGUGGAUACCUAUCUGAAAGAAGAAAACUAAUGGCUAAGUUUGCAUGAAAACUGCACUUUAUUGCAAGUUUCUCUUGCAGAUAUGAGAGAUAGCACAGAUGGACCAAAGGUUAUGCACAGGUGGGAGUCUUUUGUAUAUAGUUGUAAAUAUUGUCUUGGUUAUGUAAAAAUGAAAUUUUUUAGACACAGUAAUUGAACUAUAUUCCUGUUUUGUAUAUUUAAUAAAUUUCUUGUUUUCAUUCUUAGA
rnacentral:sRNA from 1 species